rnacentral:lncRNA from 1 species
CUCUCAAUAUGUCAAAUGGACUAGCCAGUUCCAGACUCUAGAUGAAACUGCUUUUGGUUUAAUAUUCAAUCUUCACAGCUCACCUGAGGUGGACCAGCUGCUUCCUGUGGGAGAAGGGCAGAAAGAACUAAUCAGACAGACCAUAGUUGGAUUACUGUCUCUACCGUUUGUGACUGAUUGUGAACUUGGACACAUGACGUAAUCUGUAUGCCUCAGUCCCUUCUCCUUAGUGCAGGUAAUAAAAUUAGCAUGAGGAAUGCUUAAGGAAAGGUCGCUUUUGGGACACUGUGAAUGUGGUAUGCUGUAAUUUGUGUCCGUGGGGGCUGAGUUUUUAAAAACAAGCUUUCUUUUGGUACACUGUGGUUGGCGUUGUUCAAGCAGGGGGCUGGUGUCAGUCUACUGGGCAACUCUGGGGAAUUGGUCCUUUGCAAAUUCCCUUAGUCAGGGGAAAUUGGUUUUAUAUUAGGAGGGUAUCUGACAAUUUUGUUGCUUUGCUGGAAUAUUAAUGAAGCCUUAAAGAGUUCAUAACUUUCUAAAUAUCUAAAAUGGUAGAAUAAAGAGACUUAAAGAUUUGAGCUUUUUAACUGCAGCAUCCCUUCUCUUUUCAAGACCUGCCUCUUACGACCCAGGCACUUCUGUUUUAAUCUUUUCAUGCCAGUGUUCUCAAUUUUUCCCCAUGCCUGCAGGACUUCAUGCAAUAUAGAACACUGGCCUCUAUAUU